GACGAACGCUGGCGGCGUGCUUAACGCAUGCAAGUCGAACGGAAAGGCCCUGCUUUUGUGGGGUGCUCGAGUGGCGAACGGGUGAGUAACACGUGAGUAACCUGCCCUUGACUUUGGGAUAACUUCAGGAAACUGGGGCUAAUGCCGGAUAGGAGCUCCUGCUGCAUGGUGGGGGUUGGAAAGUUUCGGCGGUUGGGGAUGGACUCGCGGCUUUCAGCUUGUUGGUGGGGUAGUGGCUUACCAAGGCUUUGACGGGUAGCCGGCCUGAGAGGGUGACCGGCCACAUUGGGACUGAGAUACGGCCCAGACUCCUACGGGAGGCAGCAGUGGGGAAUAUUGCACAAUGGGCGGAAGCCUGAUGCAGCAACGCCGCGUGCGGGAUGACGGCCUUCGGGUUGUAAACCGCUUUCGCCUGUGACGAAGCGUGAGUGACGGUAAUGGGUAAAGAAGCACCGGCUAACUACGUG
rnacentral:rRNA from 1 species